rnacentral:sRNA from 1 species
UCACCUUCAGUGUUAAUAGCUCUGUUCUCUCACAGCCCUGUGCAGAGCGCCUGGGGAGAGAAAAAGUAGGAGUGGAUGCAGGAGGGAACAAAACUCCACUCGUCCAGAGAAAGCAAAAGGAUGGGAAAGAACCAGGGGAAAACGUGAACCACGUAGGCACAGAGGAAGAGUGAAAUAAGAAACCUUACUAAGGACGGUGUCUUGUUGCAAAAGAAAUCGCCCGGGCUCUGGAUAGCUAAGUGCUCAUUCACCUCUGCAAACAGAAAAGUCAGGGCGCGUGUAGCUGGAGGGGCGGCUCCUUUCGCUCAUCUGCAUUCCUUUUGUCUGGAGCUAGGGUGUGGUCGUAACCGGGAAUAAUGGUUCCUUAUGACUAACUUUCAUCUCCCCGUAAAGGAAUCAUCUUUAAAAAGCAACAACCAAAACUUGCUUCCUAAUCACAUAAAACAGCCCGAGACUCUCCCUCUCCGCAGUGAAGUGAUUUCUCCUGUCUUGAUCUUGUUCCUCCUUGAAACAACAGCUCCCCGGGGGGAGUUCUGGCCGCCAAGAAUGUUAGAGAGCAGCGUUAGAGGAGAGCAGCAUUUCUCUUGGUCAGCUCAAGGUCACUCACUGUAACCUCAGAGAUGGCAGCUCUCUGGGAUCUGAGACCUGAACAAUGACAAUUAUGCGUCCCAGUAGCUGUCGGUGUCCUUAAUCUGCCUGUUAAAGAACUGAUGAAGCCACACUCCAGGUUUCCUGGGACGAAUGGCAUUAGUCUGACAUGGAGGCAAGUGGUAAAGAGUGAUCAGAGCGAGGAGCCCAGGAGAGCCAGGGAGAGGAGCUGGAAGCCACUCGAAGGGCACACUGAGAGAAGCAAGGCAGACUCUGCUAUGAAAAAUCCACAUCUGAGCUGCAAGGAGCCGAGGUCUGGCUUAUGGUACCUGAUAGAAAAACAUGAUUUGGCCUGUGGAGUGAGGUAUCUUUCCACAGCAAGAUGCACACAAAAACAAGCACAGAUGCAUACAAAGACAUACACACACACACACACACACACACACACACACACACACACACACACACAUAGAGUCAAGUUGAAGAGAGCCCAGAACCCAAAAUUUUAGCUAAGUUUUAAAACAUAAAAAUACUUCUGGAGAAGCCAGUGGUCUCCUGGCAGCCCUGUUGCCUGAAAGCAGCAUCUGCCUCUUUUUGAACACUUCGGGUGUGGUAAGGGGUGAAGAGAAAUCAUAAAGCCAGAGGCUGGGGCUUGAGGGGGUUAGGAGCAUGGUGCCCAGUGCAAUGACAGAGAACGUUACAGGCUGGGACUGGGCUAGUCCAGGACACAGCUCUAGACUUGUCCUGGAGAAGCUACACACAUUUGUAGGAAAUGAACCUGAGCUGGCCACAGACUUGUGUGCUGUGUGGUCAAACACUGCUUCCCUUGCCCAGGUCUACAGUUCCAGAUCAUCUUCCAAAGCACACCUGAACCUCUCUGUCUCUCUGUCUCUUUCUCUCUGUUAUUCUCUCUGUUAUUCUCUCUUUGGUUCUUUCUC